CCUACGGGAGGCAGCAGUGAGGAAUAUUGGUCAAUGGACGAGAGUCUGAACCAGCCAAGUAGCGUGAAGGAUGACUGCCCUAUGGGUUGUAAACUGCUUUUAUAUGGGAAUAAAACAGGGUAUGCAUACCCUCUUGUAUGUACCAUAUGAAUAAGGAUCGGCUAACUCCGUGCCAGCAGCCGCGGUAAUACGGAGGAUCCGAGCGUUAUCCGGAUUUAUUGGGUUUAAAGGGAGCGUAGGUGGAUUGUUAAGUGAGUUGUGAAAGUUUGCGGCUCAACCGUAAAAUUGCAGUUGAAACUGGCAGGCUUGAGUACAGUAGAGGUAGGCGGAAUUCGUGGUGUAGCGGUGAAAUGCUUAGAUAUCACGAAGAACUCCGAUUGCGAAGGCAGCUCACUGGACUGCAACUGACACUGAUGCUCGAAAGUGUGGGUAUCAAACAGGAUUAGAUACCCUUGUAGUC
rnacentral:rRNA from 1 species